UUGUCUGUAGAAAGGAGAGACGGUUGGCAUCUCCCUUGGUAGGGAUGGGAACGGCCUUUGGGCUUACCUGUUACCGACACAUGUGGUUAAGGCUAUUCUCUUUCAGCGGAUCUUACCUAUUCUCUUU